GUACCCCUUUAAGAGUGAUUUAGGACCUCUACGUCAAUGUUAUGCAACCAUUUGGAUUUCACCCGCACUGUUACGUAACAGUACGGGUGAUUUGAAUACUCCCGCCCUCACGCUGGAUAUCUCCUCCCAUAUUACGCCGGCUACCUGAAGGCAGAUCCGCCAUUUUCUCGCUUCACUUGUAUGCGACAGCCUGACCACUAGCAUGUACAACCCGAAAGCCAAGCACUCCUGCUCUGUUGUCGGAUGUACGGACACUCAUGUUUCCCUACAUCGCCUCCCUACCAAAGAGGAUAUCAGAGCGAAGUGGCUAAAUUUUAUUUUUCAGGGAAACGUCCCAGCUUCACUGAGCAAAAGCGUUGUUGUCUGUGCCAAUCACUUCACACCGGACUGUUUCAGCAACCAGGGUCAGUAUCAGGCUGGACUGGCAACGAGAUUGUCCCUCAAAGAUGGAUCAAUACCCACUGUCCGUGUCAAUGCCACAGAAGAAGAAACUGCAAGUAUUUUAAAAACAGUAUUGUUUGUGUUACUUUGGCUGUUUAGCACAUGAGGUAACGCUAACCGGUGAUGUAAAUAUGAGGCUGAGCUAACGUUACAACAUUGGGCUUACUGGUCUUAGGAUUCACGGUAAUGUUAAUGUUGCCAAACCUUAAUUUGUCGUAUCAGCACGCUUUUAAAACAUGACAGUGAAUUGAGAAAAUUAAUUAGGAUAUUGAGAUUUGAUCGCUUCUAACUGGCCGGUGAACCACUAAGAUGUUGUCCGCGGAUGACGAGCUAGCUAACGCUGCUCGGCCGUGAACAGUGCUAGCUAGCCAUCGUCAUGUUCACGGCCGAGCAGCGCUAGCUAGCUCAUCGUCCGCGGACAACUUCUCAGUUGCAACAGCUACUGUUCCGACGUGAACACGCAUGUGAAACCGUCUCCUCCACAUGCUCACAGCCGAUCAGACGGUGUGAAAUUGUCUCAGUUGUUCGCGGACGGAGAGCUAAUGUUCCACUGUGAACACGCAGAGAGGACGGUAUGAAAUGCUCUGUUAUUCACGGCCAGUGAGCUACGCUACGUCAAUUAGCAUGUUGCGCUAAAGGCUAAAGGACAGUGUGUUAGAUGCUCAUGAGCACCUAGGCAGUUGAAUGACUUCUUUUGUGUUGAUAUACACGUAACUACGUGUGUAGUGUUAGCUGCUGGUACGAGAGACCCGAUCUGACAGUACCAACACUUUAUCUGCAGUCAAGCAAUCAUUACUUUGCUUUGGAGCCGGAGACAGGGGUUACCUGUCUGCUGUGCUAUGAUUAAUGUUAGUUAUAUGAAGGCAUGGACACAGAAAAUGGACACAAUAUGUAUUGCUCACUUACUAAAUCUAAUGUGAAAUGAGGGGUUUGCAUGGGCCAGAAUUUGCCUUAUCAAAUUGAUUGUUUUAAACAUCAAUUCUGUAUACAUUUCUUUGUUUCAUGUAACAUGAGAAACAGACACAUAACAUAUUCCUUCCUUUUGCGUUUAGCCAAGCACAUCUGUACAGCAGUCUGUAGUGCAUCAUGUUGCCUGCCAGACAGACCAACCAGUGAAAUGCACGGUUGGCACACAGCUUUCCAUGAGAACUAUCCGGCCUCACUUCAGAAGCACAGACUCUACCUGGCUGCCCUGCAUUACAAUGAAAAUACUGACUGACCACAGGCAACAUCUACAGGUGGAGAGCUGCUGUACAGUCAACUUCCCCAAAUCUAAGCAUGGAGAAUGAACUGCAAAGCCUGUGAAAGCAGAGCCAACAUUCCACUACGUUGAUGCACUGUUGGACCUGAUCUUCGAGAAGGUUUUCCAGGACCCUGGCCUAUAUUUGAACGAGGUGCUGAAACUUACAAGCCCUGAAGACCUCUCGGCUCAGUAUGAAAGACCCAACAAGCUGGACGUUUAUAGCCAGUUUUGUGACAAGGUUCAAUCAAGGACAGGACUGAACCUAACAUACUGUCCUUCAGCGUCAGGGAACUCUGCACGAAUCCUCAGCACCACACAGGCAGGCAGCACAGCUCUCACUCUCCGCCCCAGAAAGCACCAGCACCAGCUUACAAAGCUUCUGUAGGCUACGUAUCUAUAUUGGCUGGACACAAUUCAGUAGAAAGUCAGCACUGAAUGUUCACAUCCAUGGCAACUGGCAAGUUUAGCUGUUCCACUUUAGAUAUUUAUUUGUAUGUCUACAAAUGAUAUGAUUACAUAAUCGCCAUCAGUAAACUGGACACUGUCUGACUCUGUCACUCACAAGGACGGAUCACAGAGUUUUAUUUUCAUCACAAACGCGUUUUUUGCUGGUGACAGACGCUGUUUUUUGGGCAGAAAUGUAGCAUUGCUUUGUGGGAAAUUUCUCUUUACUAAGUUGAGUGAAGGUCUGAUGACAAUCUGAUAACUGCAGACAGUUACCAGAUUGUCCAAUCAACACACCCUCCAUACGCAAAAGCUAGCUUAUAUGUUCACACUGGUUCCGUUCCCCAAUAAUGCAGCCCCGAUACUACCUCCAUAGGCGGAUCAGCGUUGGAGCGAAAUUUCACCCCUCUGAGAGAUUCACUCAGAGGCGGAGGCGGUGAAUUGGCACACGAUCCCCGCAUCAAAACGACAGUGUGAAUGGGGCUACUUCUGGAGGCAUACAUCCAUGAACUACAGCGGUUGGUUACAAGGAGUUAGUAAAGAGACCAGAGGCAAGAGACUAAGGUUAGGGAUCCAAAUCUUUAAAUGAGGGAGACAUUGUGUAAGUUAGAAACCAUGGAGUGAAGGGCAAGCAGGCAAACACACUAAUCCUUACCAUCUUCCACAAUCUGUAUAACAAGAAUAUUUUUAAUGCAUUAAAAACACCAUGUUUACCAUAUUGUGCCUUUACAUGUUAAUUUAUCAUUGUAAUUCAUUUUUUGGUGCCACUGUCGGCCGAUUCUACUUCAAGAUGAUUGCUAGGUGUCUCAAACCCCUUUUAGAGGUCCUGGAGAAGGUUUUAGAGGUCCUUGAGGUGUUAGAAGUCCUAUAGAUGGGUUUAGAGGGCUUAAAGGAAGUUUUAGGGGUCCUAGAGGAAGUUCUGAGGAUCCUGGAGGAAGUUUUAGGGGUCCUGGAGAAAGUUUAGAGGUUUAUCUUAUAGUAGUCAUGGGCACAAGACAGUAGUCUCUCCUAAAACUUUUUUCUUUAAAACCUCCACUAGGACCCCUAAAACUUCCUCUAUGAACUAUAAAACUUCCUCUAUGACCCUAUAUAUCUUAUCAUAGAUUACACUACCUAAAAGCAUAUAAAGUACUUAAAAUAGGCUCAACCUUAAACAUAUAUAGCAGUAAAAUGCAAUGUGUAGAUGUAAUAUUAAUCCAAAAACAUCCUAUAAAACAGUAAACCACUGACAGGAAGCAUUUUACUGCACAAUGAGUACUUUUAUUUUUGAUACUUAAGGUACAUUUGUUGACAAUACUUACAUAUUUAACUUUUCAAUGCAGGAAUUUUACUUGUAGUAUUUUUAGCAUAUAAUUAGUACUGAAGUAAAAGAUCAGAUAGUUCAUCCACCACUGAGAAAUAUAAAUGAUUUACCAAAUUUUACAUUUUGUUUUUGUUGUGCCUCUGAUGCAGAGUCCAGUCACAAGUAGCAAUCAGAAUAACUGAAAUUUCCUGACCUUUUUAAUCAGCACUAGGGAUGUAAGAAUACAUUUUGAGGAUCACACUUUUGUUUUCGGAAAUACGACCACCAGCUUUUGAUUCGUUGGUUUGUUGUUGAGGAUCCAUACACAUGACUGGCAGCCCCAGCAAAACCAUCAGUGUGUGAUGAUCUUAAGGCACAAUGGAUUGCCGCCAUUGUGCCAUUUUCAGUGCCAUUUUCAGUGCCACAGUCUGUGCGAAGCUGCAUUGGUAUGAUCGCACAUUCUGAGACACAAUGCAGAUAGUUUUGGGCAAUGACUCCAGGGUCAUUGUUGCUUGCUCCACAGACCAACCACAGCACUUUGCAAGAGUAACUGUCUAUACAGCCAAACCAUACGGUUUUAAUUUGUUGUAACCAUCAACAUGCCAGACAUGGUUUGGUCAAUGGGUGUCGUAAACUCUCUUUACAAAUCUCCGUCUUGCACGAAGUUCAGCUCCUGCUGGAUCAAGGUCACCCAGCAUAAUCCCUUCUCACUUUUAGAGAGUACCUCUGGUGCAGUUUCUGCUGCAUCAUAUGGUAGCCAUAAUGAUGCACACAAAAGUAAUACAUAUAGAGAGCAUGCAUAGAAGAAUUUCAAAUCAGAAAUAAUUGUCAGUAUAACCAAUGAUGCUUGUGAUGAAGCAGCCCAUGAAAGUCAGGGUGAGAUAGAGCAACAGGCGACUUCUGACAUAGAAGUCCUAGGGGUCAUGGAAGAAGCCUGUGGUGAUCUUUGUGGUUAAAGAAAACAGUUUGAACAUAAUCUAGCAUCUCUGUUAUUGAAAAUGCAAACUGUUCUUCAUAUCCCAGAGAGUGCUGUACAAGAAGUGAUAUAACACCUUUGCCAAAUACAUGACCUGUCAGAACUAUUACUGUACAGUAAUGUCAAGGCAGUACUUAAGAAACAUUGUCCAGAUGUGGAUGAAUCAGUUAUAAAAGAAAUUGUCUGUGCUGUUUCAGAAAGUAAUGCGAUGGCAUCAUCUUGACGGGAAUCUUCAAGAGGAAGACAGAUAGGAUAGGCAGGCCUGGUACAACAGACAACGAGCACUGAGCCAACAGCCAUUACAUGCCUUGCCCUGAGAGGACCUCCAGUCAUUCUUGGGGAUUUAAGAGCAGUUCGAAUCUUAAUGAGGGAGACUCUGUGGACAUUGCCGUGGGAAUCCUCUGCUAUGAGUAUACCAGCGCUGCAAGCCCAGCAUCAUCACAACUAAACCCCUCAAGAGUGGGGAUCGGGGCAGACUUGUAAUGGAAGCACUCACCAACCUACCUCAGGCAAAGUGUCUCUUGUUUCGCUUUACCUACACACUCCACCUGCAGUAUCCGAAGUGCUUAAAAAAACACAUUUGCCUUCAUUCAGCAGGUAAUGCUAAAUUUGGGUCAAAGUGAGCUACCUCACUACCUCAGCUACCUUCAAAAGCUGAAGAAUGAUCUUGCAGUGUCACAUUUAUGCUCAUGACACAAUUCUGCAUGUCUAUGUCUGAAUUGUUGCACAAAUACAUUGCACUGACUGGAGCAAAUAUUCUUGCAGUUGCUCAUUUAGUAUGAGACACUUCUUGCACUGCAUGUGUCUAGUGUUGUUCAUUUUACUGAAAUAAUUCUACAGAGGACACAUGUUAGAAAAAUGCAGUUUUUUAAACAACUCUGGUCCUCACUGCACAGUUGUUCUUAAUGCCUGCUUUGUUGUGUGGCACACUUCAUACUUGAAAAUUGUUCACAGAGCAAAAAAAAAACUAUGCUGCGAUUGUAUUUGGAAGGAAAUCAUUUUGUAAUUCAAUAUUCAUUACACAUGUUCUGUUUGCUGCAUCAUAGAAAGGUACUGUGAAGUAAUAUCUGCAGCAAAAACUAAGAAUAUACAGUUGUAAUUGCUGGCAAAGACCUAUUUUGAUAAUUUUAUUAAAAGAAGGUCUUACAGUUAUUUUGGAUGUGCAUCUGGUAUUUGCACAGCAUUAUUGUAAAUACAUAUGUGUUGCUUUGUUGUGUGUCCAAAUAAAGUAAAUUAAAUGUA